AUUAAGGACGGCACAGUGUCCUUGUAAUGUGGAUCCAGCUGGGUGGCCACCCAGUAAUCAGCACAAGUUAGAAUGUGGGCAACUUGGCAGUCAUUGUGCAGGAACUUUGGUGACUCUAGAUAACGUCGGGCCGAUCGCACGUCCCCGUUACGGUGACGAUGCAUUCGGAUGUCUGCCCUAUCAACUUUUGAUGGUACUUUCUGCACCUACCAUGGUAACCACAGGUAAUGGGGAAUCAGGGUUCAAUUCA